UAGGUUGAGGAGGCGGUGACUGUGGUGGUGUAGGUGGAAGCGGCGGUGAAGGAGGAGGUAGCCAAUACUGUUUUAUAUAUAUAUAUAUAUAUAUAUUAAUUGGGGUAGCCCCCAAAAUAUUGGGACAUAUAAAAAAGAAAACUCUGUUCCGCAGAGUAGCUGUUGACAUUAUAGUUGCGCAGGAACUUUGUUGACUCUAGAGAACCAAUUGCACAUCCCCGUGGCAGCGACUUUGCAAUGCGGAUGUCAUCCAUAUCAACUUUCGAUGCCAGUUUCUGCGCCUAUCAUGGUGACCACAGGUAACGGGAAUCAGGGUUCCAUUCCGUACAGGGUCCUUGAGAAACGGCUACCACAUGCAAGGAAGGCGGCAGGCGUGCAAAUGACGCACUCCCGACGCGGGAAGGUAGUGACGACAAAUAACAAUACAGGACUCUUUAGAGGCCCUGUAAUUGUAAUGAGUCCACUUAAACUCUGAUCAAUUGGAGGGAAGUCUGGUGCAGAGCCACUGACCCGUCCAUG